GUGUUGUAUGAAAGGAGAGAAGAUUAGCACACUCCUUGACAAGAGAAGAAGAGGCUCUUGGACCUGCCAACAUGGAUACGGUUAAGGCAUUGCCACCUACUUCAUGGCAUCUAACCAUAAUUUUUA
rnacentral:ncRNA from 1 species